CACUGACCCUGUCACUCAGAAAGUGAGGUGAAGGUGCAUGGUGCUCCCGGGUUUUUCUCAUCUCAGCAAGAGGAGUGGAGGCAUCUGCUACUCAAUCCGAGAAACGCAGGGACGAAAGAGAGGAAAAACUCAGAAUUGAGAGGAAGGAAAGCCAGCAUACUUACCUGCUGGACGUCCGGAGUCGAGUGGUUGGAUGAAGGAGAGAAGCAACGUCGGCUAACCACUCACCUUUCAUCCGGAGAGCUGCUGCAAUUCCGACACCAGUGUGUGUUGGGCUUUUGUGAAACAGAGCAACGGUCAGGUUUUUUUGGAAAGGACAGAAAAGUCCAAGGACCAGGACGAAAUUCCGGUCGUGAUAGAUGGCGAGCCAACCACUUUGAGGACGAUCCACCCCAAAGAAGAUACACACCCACACACUCAUACAUUCCAAUUACACUCACAAGGACCUUUGAAGUUGGCUGUUGCCAACUUAACUCUAAAUUCUUAAAGGGCCCCAACGAGUACUUUUAUUUUGUUUAAGUGUGCACACUAUUUAUUUUAUUUUAUACUUUUUCCUGUACAAAUUGGACAAUAUCUGUUAUACUUUGUAACAAUACAAGA